GUCGGGUAUACCUAUUAUCCUAAAAUCAAGUUCUAGUUACUUACUCUAGAACUAGCAUUAAGAACAAUCAAAGAUAAAGAAUUCUAAAUAUAUUAUCCUAACAGGGUUUUUGAUCUACUAAUUCAUCCAAAUCCCUAGUGAGAAU
rnacentral:sRNA from 1 species